UGAAGGCUAGUGUUAUCCCACGAAUGAAUUUGGAUCAUUAAAUGGAGCCGACAAAGCUCCGCCUUCAU
rnacentral:tRNA from 1 species